UAAGUAAGACGUGAAAUCGUACGGCUCAACCGUAUACACAUGUUUUAAACUGGUGAACUAGAGGAUGAGAGAGGUUAUUGGAAUUUCUAGUGUAGGAGUGAAAUCCGUAGAUAUUAGAAGGAACACCGAUGGCGUAGGCAGAUAACUGGCUCAUUUCUGACACUUAGGCACGAAAGCGUGGGGAGCGAACGGGAUUAGAUACCCCGGUAGUCCACGCCGUAAACUAUGGAUGCUA
rnacentral:rRNA from 1 species